ACACGGGGUGCGCCGUCCGGCGCUGAGAACAUACCCGCUGAACCUGAUCUAGUUCGAACUAGCGAAGGGAUGUUUU
rnacentral:ncRNA from 1 species